AAGUCGUAACAAGGUUUCCGUAGGUGAACCUGCGGAAGGAUCAUUAACACGUAUCCAACGUUAAACAACCCUGUGAACCUUCAUGCCUCUCGUAGCCCAGGAGGAACAGCAAUCCCGGUAAAUCAAUGGCGGAAAGUUUUGAUUCGGGACCUCUGUCCAAAAGGUUACGAUCGAGUGAGCAAAGUGGCAUGGUUUCCCUAAGCAGUGUGAGGAUCCACUGAGUAAGGAUAACGCAUCUCGGUUGCCAAGAGGUCGAUCACCGGCCGGCAGACAUGUCACCGGGCUUUAUGCCCCCCCAUUCACACCUUGCCCUAUCAACUCCUGGAGAAAUGCCAGGAGAUAAACCGAACAACUGUUAACAAAUUAAACCAUUGAUGGAUAUCUUGGUUCUC
rnacentral:misc_RNA from 1 species